GAGGAUUUAGCUUAAAUCAAAAGCGAAUGAUUUGCAAUCAUUAGAUGUGAGAUGAGUUCUCGUAAUCCUUA
rnacentral:tRNA from 1 species